UUAGAGAACCGCCGCUAUAUAGCUGGAAUAUUGCUGAGUGCAACGUAACAUUAAACUCAAUCACUCCCUCCUAACCACUACAGAUUAAUGCUCGGGUCAUUGA